AUCCAAAUUAGUAUUUUUGCCAAUGGCAAUAUUUGAUCGAAUCCGGCAAGAUUUCCUUCUUUUACACUAAGUCUAUCAUUAAGCAAGGGUUUUGCAGAUGGUUGCAGUAGAUUGAUAAAGAAAAACAUGAAAACUAAAUUAAACUUCAGGAUCAUCGACUAAUGUGCUCUAAGGGAUGCUAAGCCGUAAAAGUUUCAAAUGAAGAUUGCCUUGAUCAAGUUGUACCAUUCAUUAAAUUUGGUAACCAAUUGUCAGCACUGUGGGUUCCGUUUAGAUUGCAUAGGAGCUGUAGAAAUUUUGCACAACUUUUUAAGACGAACCUGUCAAACAAGCUGGGUAUAAUGAGAGGGGUUGAAAGAGCUCCGUGAAACUCUUACAGAUUGAGCGACUAUUCGAAUUGAAGAUCACAAAGAAAAAGAUGUUUUGAAAGAACCUUGGAGAAUGGAAAGGAGUAAAAAAUCCUGCUAAAAGCCUCUUGUUCAAUAAAUCAUCACUAUUCUAGACAACUAUUUUGUGUUUUAUUCAGUUUUGCUUUUUUCUUGUGGCUGCCUGUGUCAUUUAUAACUAGUUUUUGCUAAUCAAAGUUAUUGUCGCGCAAGUUCUGGUUGUUUUGCUUUCAUCUGUUAUGUUUUUGUUGUUUUGUAUUUUGAAGUUGUUAUAUAUAUAUAGAAUUUUCAGAAAUUAGUUCAGGUUUUUGAUUUUUCAAGGCUUGAGCUCAACCUUUCGCUCUUUAUGCUCUGUGUCAGCUACUGUCAACUGCAUGUUUGAUCUUUUUGUCAUUGUAUGCAACCUUUGCUACAAGUAUCCUAUUUUAACCGAACAGCUCUUUGCUUGCAUAAUUCUUCUUGUUUCCAUGACAUUCGUAUUUGUACUUGUGUUUCUCUCACAUCCUAUCGCCGUUUCCACCACAAAUAUAGUACAUAUACUGGCUUUCAAUCAUUUUCUGUUUGGUAUGACUAACCUUCUUUAUAUUUCUAACCUUUUUCCAGUGCCAUACAUUCUCAAGAAUUUCUUGUUGUUGACCUGACUAAUCACUAAAAACGUACAUUUAUGUUUCAAAGUUCAUUUCGCACUGAAAUAUUCAAAGCAAUGCUAUGUGUCACAUCACCUUUGCAUUUUCUAUGUGAUGUUUUUAAUAAUACCUGCUGUCUUGCUAAUUGACCGUUCGUCCGCAUGCUGGGUCUGUUUUUGCAUCUGCCUAAUUUCCAUUGUUGUCAUUAGGUCAAUUUCUGUGCCAUUUCAAAUCAUUAACAUCAUACUGAGACGUGAGCCGAUCUUAUAACUUGCUUCUUCUAAAUGAUAAUUAUUUUGAAGAUUCAGAUCUAAAAGGUUUAUAACUUUGUCAAUAGUUCAAUUUAUGCGGCAUUUAAUUAGAGAAUGAUCGUCAUAAAUAUAAAGCCAUGAUAAUAAUCAUCCUCUUCAUUCUGACCAUUUAUCAUCAUUUGAUCAAUUUGAGAUACUUCAAUGCGGUCUUUUUUGUGGUUUAUUAGAAAGUAUGAGUUUCGUCAAGCCCGUUGUCUGAUUUCUUCCCUGCUCUUGCAACAAUUUCGUUUUUCCCCCAGAAUUGAUGUGUUUAGACUUACAAAGCUACCAAUGUGCCAAGAUAGUGCGUUGGACCUCCUUGUUUCUUUGUGUAAGGAACUUCUCAUCGAAUUCGCGGAUAUGCUGCUUAAAUGCCGUUGCAACUGCAGACCUUAGAGUGUCCAUUUGGUCAUGGAAAGGUACCCUGUCAUCUCAGAACGAAAAGCUUCAACUCGGUAUUUUAUCGAUGAUACCAAGAUAGAGAUACUAAUUUAAAUCGAAUUUUGCUACCACGUUCGAAAACAUUGUUAAAAAUAUGCUACGAGUUUGAAUGACAGUUUGAAUUAAGACCAACUGAAUUGCCAGAUCAGCCGGGAAAAAAAGGUUUAAGAAAUACAAGAAACAUCAAAUUGCAAGAAUGAUGCGGUAAGGAUUACGAGAAGAGCCAAAUUGCGCGAGAAGUGAGAUUUGGAUUUGAAUAGAGCCAAAUUACGAGAAAGAUACGGUUUGGGUUACGAGAGGAGCCAAAUUGCGCGAGAAAUGAGAUUUGGAUUUAAAUAGAGCCAAAUUACGAGAAAGAUACGGUUUGGGUUACGAGAGGAGCCAAAUUGCGCGAGAAAUGAGAUUUGGAUUUAAAUAGAGCCAAAUUACGAGAAAGAUACGGUUUGGGUUACGAGAGGAGCCAAAUUGCGCGAGAAAUGAGAUUUGGAUUUGAAUAGAGCCAAAUUACGAGAAAGAUACGGUUUGGGUUACGAGAGGAGUCCAAUUUUAAGAGAGUUUUUGUUCAAAUUACGAGAAAAGCCAAAUUUUGCGAAAGAUUAAGUGCAAGCAACGAGAGAAGCCAUAUUAUGUAUGGAGGCAAAUUUUGAAAAGAGCCAAAUCACGAGAAAAAACACGCUUUGAGUUACGAGAGGAGCAAAAUUUUAGAAAUGUGUUUUAAAUGAAAAAUGAAUUGAAGUUGUGGUUUUAGUUAUGAGAGGUACCAAAUUACAAGAAAGUUAAAAUUUGAAUUAAGUGAAUAUAGGACUUCAAUCACAAUAGCAGCCAAAUAAGGAGAAAGAUAUCAUUGGAUUAUCGAGUAAAGCCAAUUAUGAAAAGAUACGGUUUAAAUUAUAAGAGGAGCCGAAUUACGAAAAAAAGUUUGAAUAUAGUGGGAAAGUAAUGAUGUCACCUAAACCGUUUUCUAGACAAUUUCUAAUGUUGACGACAUGACCUUAAAAACAUAGAAUUACCUCAUCUGUCAGAGAUUGUCUCAGAUAAGUCUACAUGAGCACAUACUUUUCUGAAACUUAUGAACCGUGCCAUAACAUUCAAUCCCGCUGACUCCCGUUUUUAAAAAACCAAAAAGUCCCGUCCAUUGCCGGUGUCAUAUGCAUUUUGGUUACCUUAUGCAUUUUGGUCCGGGUAAACAAACGCAUGACAAUUUUGGUUAUGCAAAAGCGUACCCAUGCACUUAAACAAUAGGGUACCAAAACGAAUGGUGGAACUUAGUAUGCAACACUGUCCGGGUACACAAACGCAUGGCAAUUUUGGUUAUGCAGAAACGUACCAAAGCAUUUAAACAAUAGGGUACCACAACGAAUAGUGAACUUUAGCAUGCGAACCGGUCGAAUGUUCUGGUUCAUAUUGUUCAGAAUGUAAAGAACAAUUGAACUAUUUUUAUAAAAGGGAUGCAAGUAAGAAUUGUUGCUGUGAUUUCCGUUGUUAAGUUUAUGCAAAAAAGUACAACAUUAAUGGUGACUCCAAACUUUGCGUGAUUGACAAGUGUAAAUAUUAAACUCUUGAAAACGUAUCAAAACAUCGCACAAUGAUGAAAUCACACGAUCUGAAACACAUUGCGUUUCACAAUGUUCCAUUUUAUCAUAGGGUACCCAAACGCAUAUUACACCCUGGAAUAUGUUGAAAUGACAACUCCAAAUGGUUUGUUUCUACUAUAAAAUCAAUUGAGGUAUUACUGUAAGAACUUGAAAGUUUUUUUUGUAGUAAAUAGGCUGUACGUAAGAUGUGAACUUUAGGACUUGAUUGUCAAAAUUUCUUAUCUUUAAUACUGAUGUUAGCUUUGUUUUGCUUUACAUUCUAUGAUUUUCUUCUACUCUAUCGUGUUGUCUAAAUUUUCAAAAGGUUUUUUUAGCGAUCAGGUAACUAUCAUUAUGCUGGGCUCGAGAUAGAAUUAUACGUUUGCAGCGAGAUGUGACACAAGACAAUAAAAACAUUUGAAAAUAAUUCUUUUAGCUCAAUACCUAGAGAUGAAAGCAGAUUUUGGGCGUCAAUUUGCUAUUGUGUAGACACAUAGGGCUUGGGACGCCGUUCGUAAAUAUUCCCAACAAUGACUUAUCAAUAUUAUUGAAAUAUGAGUUAUUUGCGUGUUCUGUGGAGUUAGUCCGCUUAGACCCCGCCAGGAUCCGUGAUUGAACUGCAAAUCAUUCAUAGCAAACGCUGUUGUUAGUAUGAUCGUUGUAGCACAGAAAGGUAAAAAGAGCA